rnacentral:rRNA from 1 species
AUGUAUAUGGAUGCAGAUACUCUUUGUUGCCUUUUAUGGUGCUCCCUCCAACCGGUUGAUAUCUUCACGCUGCCAUCGCCGUUCACUGCCUCCCCAUGUGCACUGCAAAAUUCCAUCGGCCAAUAUCAAGGCAAGAGCACGGAGAAAGGAUGGGGCCUAAACCUCGGUGAGCUAGCCAGGAUCUGCAAGGGUGGGUGCAUCAUCCGCGCCAGCUUCCUGGACCGCAUCAAGAAGGCCUACGACAGGAACGGUGAGCUCGCCAACCUCCUCAUCGACCCUGAGUUCGCGCAGGAGAUCAUGGAUAGGCCAGCUGCGUGGAGGAGGGUCGUCUGCCUCGCCAUCAACAAUGGCGUCAGCACCCCCAGCAUGUCCGCAAUUCUGGCCUACUUCGACUCCUACCGGAGGGACAUGCUUCCAGCGAACCUCGUCCAGGCCCAGAGGGACUACUUCGGGGCGCACACCUACGAGACGGUCGACAUGCCCGGCUCAUUCCACACCGAGUGGUACAAGAUCGCCAACUCAAAGAUCUAA